GACGUAGGGCGCGAGCGUUGUCCGGAUUUAUUGGGCGUAAAGAGCUCGUAGGCGGCUUGUCGCGUCAACUGUGAAAACCCGUGGCUCAACCAUGUGGUCUGCAGUCGAUACGGGCAGGCUAGAAUUCGGUAGGGGAGACUGGAAUUCCUGGUGUAGCGGUGAAAUGCGCAGAUAUCAGGAGGAACACCGAUGGCGAAGGCAGGUCUCUGGGCCGAUACUGACGCUGAGGAGCGAAAGCGUGGGGAGCGAACAGG
rnacentral:rRNA from 1 species